UUUGGAUCAAAAAUGAAUUUAUGGUGAAUUUUAAAAGAAAAAUCUAUUUAAAAAUCAAUUUAGAAAAAUAAAAUAAAAAGGAAAAACCGGAGCCAUCAGAUAUCCCUCAUUAAUUGAGGUGGCAGAUCUGAUGGUCAAAUCCAUGUGUUCCACAUGUACCCCCAGUCAACGUGCCACAUGCAUGAUAAUAAAAAACAAAGGCUCAGAUUAGAAGAUGGGAGAGAGAUCCAAGGGU
rnacentral:lncRNA from 1 species